GAAAUUUUUUGAUUUAAAGUCUGUCUGGUUUUAUUAGUGUUACUCGCUUAUAAUUACAGGUUUUUUGAUGAUUAUAGAGCAAGCUGAUAUCUGGAAUACGCACAACAGUAAUUACAUUUUUUUAAUAGUACAAAAUUGUUUUAAUUUUAUCCUUGAAAAUAUUUCAUGAUUUAAUUAAUAUACUUAGUUCUUGGAGCAUAUAAUCGAAAUUACUUAGCUUAAAGAAGAAGAAGCAAAGCGACAGAUGCCAUAAUGGUUGAUACUCAUUUUUUAACUCCCCUUCAGUUACUUCUUGUUGCAAAUUAUAGACAGAUGAUUCUUCAGCUGCUCAAUAAAUUUAAUAGUUUUAGUGAUUGCAAAGAUCAGUCUUCUUUUUUGAAAGGGUAUUAAUUAGAAUUGACAAAAGAUUUCAGGUUUAUUAUUACAAUGAAACAACUUUCUUCAUCUUCUUGGGCUUUUUUCUCCUAAAUUUCGUCCAAGUACUAAAUUUUAGGUAAAUUUCUAUCAGUGCGCUUAAACCAACUUUAAUAACUUAAUUUGUACCUAUCUUCGACAUGGUGAUGAGAAUUGCAAGUUCAAGAUUUCGAGCAGAAUUACCCUCUAUAGGCCUUUUAUGUUGCUAAAAUUAUAACAUAAGUACUUUUGCACCUAAUCGUAUCAUCAAUCAUCUUUGAUGAAUUUUCUUGCCUGCAAACCUCAAAAGCGAUAGAAGAACAAAAGAAUCAGUUUUAUCUCCAACUGCUAUGUUUAGAUUCUCUAUUAUAAUGCGACGAUAGAUACAAAUUUACAAGAUAAAUAAUUUUACAUUACGAAUAUUUGAAGCAAUCUGCCUCUGUAAGCUCAACUGUAAACUUCAUGGUUUAAGGUGAAAAAAGACAUCUUUUUUUAUAUAUCAUUAUGUAUACACACAGUCUGUCCCUAUGAAACUAUCAAUCGGGAUUAUUAACCAUUGUUUCCGUUUCUCGAUACAGGAUAUUGAAAAUUAUCUAACAGUUUUGCUUCCUUGGGCACUAAGAGACCUUUUACUAAAGAAAAACCCAUCAAAUAUUAGACCUUGUAGAUUAGUAAAAUUAAUAAAAAUAAGCAUCUCUCUUGAAACCAUCUCAAGAGAUAAUCUGCUUCUGCUUGCGUAUUAUAAAGUUACCUUCA